rnacentral:rRNA from 1 species
UACGGGGGGGGCAAGCGUUGUUCGGAAUUACUGGGCGUAAAGGGCUCGUAGGCGGCCAACUAAGUCGGAUGUGAAAUCCCCAGGCUUAACCUGGGAACUGCAUCCGAUACUGGAUGGCUUGAAUCCGGGAGAGGGAUGCAGAAUUCCAGGUGUAGCGGUGAAAUGCGUAGAUAUCUGGAGGAAUACCGGUGGCGAAGGCGGCAUCCUGGACCGACAUUGACGCUGAACGGCGAAAGCUAGGGGAGCAAACGGG